GUUUUAAUAAAAAAAGAUUUUGUGGUACUGUGUUUCUUUCUGCACUUUACAACUACAUGUUGUAUUACUCCGCAUUCCCAUCUACAAGGAAAUGUUGAGGCUCUACUGAACUUAACUCCCUGGAACUGGAAACAUCUGAACACAUCCGUCAAAGUGGACACCCGAAUCUCUGUGGAUAUUUCUCUUCUGUCUCACUAUAGACUUACUGGAAAACAUUUCAACAAGUAUCAGAAACUCCAAAAGCAAAGAGACUACGCAUCAAUUCUAAAAUUCAUACCCAACACAAAAGGGAAAGAUGGCGUCUAUACUAUAUACCC